CGCUCCCGAAGUCCUUACGGCGGCGUGCUUCGUCCUUGUCCUGUUUUGUUAUUAGAUCUUGGAAAUCGAGGCAGGCGGCGGAACCACUGAGCUAAAUCCCCGGCCCUUGCUGAGCUUAGUUUAUAAAUUAAUUAUAAAUGUAUCACAGGCAUGUAUUUGAUGAAAAAACAGCCUGAACACGAUGUGGUGCAGUGUGAGGUUCCAGGCGUCUGGUCGGCAUCUCGGGAUGUUUGCCCCAGGGGGAAGACGCAGCCCGAGAUGCCUCGUUACUGAUUUCUAGUCUCCCUGUGGACACGGAGCAUAAGCUGCAGGAUUUCAGACUUCUGGAUUUAUCGAGACUUGCUUUAUGGUCCCAUAUGUGAUCUGUCUUUUUUUUUGUUACCGGGGGUAGAACUCUGGACCUUGUGCUUGCGAAGCAGGUGGUGGCCCCGCUGAGGUAAUCCCCGGCCCCCGUGAUCUGUCCUGAUGGAGGUAUCCUGUGCAUUCUGAGGUUGUGGGUGGACCGGUCCACAAAUGUUAUUUAGACCAUUGGUCAGUAGUAUUUCUCAAGCCUCUAUCCCUACUGCUUUUAAAAUUCUUUAUUUAGUUUUCUAUUGAGAACAGAGAGGACUGUUAAAAAUCUUC
rnacentral:lncRNA from 1 species